GAGAGAGAGAAAAAAAAAAUUAAAAAGAAGAACCCAUAACAAAAACAUAUAAAAUACAAGUCACUUUUCUUUUUAGCUGAUCUUAUCUCUCUCAUCUCUCUUUAUCUCUCCU
rnacentral:ribozyme from 1 species